rnacentral:lncRNA from 1 species
UAAUAUAGUUCUCGUUAAAUUUCUUAAAUAUUUCUCCCUCUAAUUCGCUUUGCAAUUCAAAUGGACAUUCAUACCUUUGGCUCAAAGUAAGCUCCCCUCUACCGACGUUUACGUUCUUCGUUCGGACCAUUAUAUCGUUGAAGGUGAUUUUAGAGGGUAGUGGUAUGGAAAAAUUGUAGUUGAAGGUGAUUUUUUGGGGGGGAUGUGCUGGAGCGGCGCUGGAUAGGGGAAGAGUGAAAUUAGGGCACCAGCGCUCGCUGGCCCUUUAUAUAGUGUUUAUUUGGUCCCAGCGCUUGCUGGAACCCAGCGCUCGCUGGGUUUCCAGCGCUCGCUGGGUUUCCAGCGGUGCUGGGUUUCAGCGUGCGUUAGAAAGAUGGAUUUCAAUUCAAGAAUUAUCCCCCAAAUUCUUCGAAAAUCAGUAAAAAUCGGGUCAAAUCCAACCACGAAUUCUUUGAAAGUCGUCUGUAAAUCGUCUGGAAUCUAUGUGAAUUCCAUGGAAUUUAAACUCCAUGGACUUUUUAAAGUCUGUGGAAAUCUACAACGAAUACACCCCCCUUAAUUUAGGUGUCUGCGUCAGAUUCAGAUAAAUUAAACCUUGAGUAGCUGACUUGCCUUAUCAGUUUAGUUGGCCGAAUCCUCUUUCACACUUUGCAAUUUGAAGAUGAGGCUUAAAGUGCCCUUUCUCUUAUGAAUAAUUUGAAAAAUGCCCUCUCUUACUAUACCAAGCACUACAUGCCCUAAAUAAGUGAAGAACCGAAAAUGCCCUUUGAAUGUGAUGGAUGUGCAUUGUUUUCCGCAAAAGUUCUUACACAUCUAUGACAAAAGUUGUUAAAGUGUAAGAAAAACAUCAAUUCAUCAAUUUAAAGAAGCAAAUCGGUCAAAUAUGUGUUGGAACAUGUGAAAUACUGACAGAGAAAAUAAUAUUUAUUUAUUUUUGAAUUAAAAUCGAAGGUUUUACAAGUAAAUCGUAGGCUAAUUAAUCAAUGGAAAAUAAAUACUAAAAAUUAACACAAUCGAUAUUAGCACUCAAAACACACAUUGGAAAAAAAAAACAAGCGUCCGACCGGGAAAAACAAGUGUCCGACCGGACACAAGGUUUCACCGGGCGGACACAUAUAUGUUCCGGUCGGAUAGAUGUUUUUUUGGUUCCUAUGUGUGUUUUGAGUGCUAAUAUGGAUUGUGUUAAUUUUUUGUAUUUAUAUUCCAUCGAUUAAUUAGCCUUCAAUUAAGGGACAUAAUUUUUUUUUUAAAUUGAUGAUAAACGACAAAUAUGAUGUGAAAUAGCUUUGUCAGUAAAGUAUUCAUGUCAAACACUCUAAUUUCAUUGAAAUUCACGUGAAAUGAAGGAAUCUUUGUUUAUAUAUGAGUGAAUUCUCUCAUUCUCUCAUCCUCUCAUCCGAACACUCAAAGUGAAAAAACACUCAAACUCAUUAGAAAUUCUAAUAUUUUCCAAGUGGUGAAGCUAUUAUUUGUGAAUUCUCUCAUCCGAACGUUUAAAGGUAUGUCAUUUUACGUUUGAAAUGUAAUUUAAGUUGGUUAUUGUUUAUUUUCAAUGUUUUGUUUGAUCCUAUAUGCUUAUGUGAAUUAUUAGCAUAUUAUAGCAUACUAUGAUUUAAAGCCACGUUUGAAGGAAAUACAUGUGAAUUAGAGCAAAUUCUAUCAUGUUUUAAAGUAUUAAUUAGUAAUUAUUAGUUGCAUUUUAGUUCUAUACAUAUAUAUUGCUACAUAACUCAUGUUAUUAUGCUCGAAAAUUAUGUAUCCGCCCGGACAAGUGUCCUUGAUAAUGUGUCCGGCCGUGUGUAAUUAUAUAUCAUGUAAUACACGGCCGGACACAUUUCCUCGGCUACUUCCCCGGGCGGAUAGAUGUUUUUCGAGUGUAUUAACAUGUUAUAUGUUGUAUUUUAACAUUGUAUUCCAUUUACAUCAUAUAUUUAUUUAUUUAUUAUUUUUUCUGUAGAUGAAUGAAUAUGGGAGAUACUUUGUGGUUAAUUAUGGAGGUGCCUUCAAUGGUUAUGAGUACAUCGGCGGCUCUUCUAAGAAUUUGCAUAUUUUCGGAGACACAAUGGCCAGUACGGUGUACAUGAUAAAUUACCUGAUGAUGGAGAAUUCAUUGAGCACUAAUUACAGCUUGUAUUAUUUGACGAAGAGAUUAAAUGGCAGGGUAUACAGUAAAAAUAUUCUUGCCGAUGACAAUGAUUUGCUUCAGUUGCUGGCGUCGCAGCCACAUUUUCCUGAGAUUUAUGUUGUUGAAGACGAUUACAGUGGAGGAGUGUAUGUUCCUUCGUUCGAUCUCCCUCAAUCUUCCGGGUAUGGAGGUGAAUCCAGUGCAACAUUCGAAAGUGGGGACGGAUUGGAAGCAAUCCAAAGAUAUGCUUAUUUAGACCUAUCAGCCGGAGAUUCACCGGCGCAACAAAGUGUUGAACCGUCGGUCACUUGGGGUAAUGAUCAGUCAACGGGUUGGCCUUCAUGGGAUGAGCCAAAUCCGUACCAGUACGAUCGCCUAAUAACUGAUCGUUGUUGGGGUCCAGCUGAUGAUCAAUAUACGUACGAGCCUCAGUUUGUGGAGGAUGCUGGUAAUGUAGAUGAAGAUUAUGUUCCAUCGUCUGAAGCCGAGACUGAUACAAGCGCCUCUGAAGACUUGUCGGAGCCAGAGAACGUGAGAAGGCGGGGAUUGAAUAUGCAGGUUGGCAGAAUUUGCAGAUCGACGAGGAUGAUGACGACAGGUUCCUGGAGCAGAUGAACUACUAAUUGGUUAGUCCGGUUAUCCCGUUGGACGCCGCAGCGGCAGUUGUGGAUAUUGAAGANUGGAUUUUAAUCAAAUCCCAAACAAAUACCCCCUAAUUCAUGCUCAAUUACCGUUAGUAAUUCUAUUUUUUUGGGUAUUGCUUAUGUUAAGUAAUUUUUGUUAUAUUUUUUUAUUUUCAGUUCAUCAUACAUUAUAUUCAUGUAAAAUUGUAUGAUCAUACUAUAAUUCUUUGACAUGAUUAAAAUGUAAUGAAAACAUGAAAAUCAUGAAUCAAAUGCAAACAUAAUUCAUGAAAACAAACAUUAAUCAUUGUUCAAAAGAUAAAAUUAUCCAAACUCAUAAAACAAUGUCAACAUUAAUAUAAAAACUCAAAAACGUGGUCUCCAAGAAUCCCACUGGCGCUGCAGCUCGGCAAUCUGCUGGUCUUGUGCAUCAAAGCGAGCAUUCAUAUCAUUCCUCAUUGAUGUCAUCGAUGAGUCAAAAUGAGCUCGGAAUGCUCCCAUGGAUGAAUCAAAGUGUGCACGGAAUGAUGUGAGAUCAUUCUGAACCUGCUGAUGGUAGUCUCUCGGGAUUGAACCACUAGCUGCUCGCUCUCCAUUCCCCUCGUCUUCUUCCUCUGCCUCUUCGGCUUCCUCUUCAGCUUCUUCUUCGUUCUCCUCUUCUUCAUUAUCACCGGCGGUCCCAGAUGGACCGGCACCAGGAUCAAUGCGGGGACGACGGCCUGCUGCAAUCUCGGAGUGUAUGUAGUUAACUACACAAGUCCUCUUCGCAUGAGGAACCAGCGUGUAUUGGUCAGAAAUCAAUUGAGCUGCUCUGAGCUCAUUAUAAUUAAUGUACUCCGCAUCCAGCUCAUCCUGACCAUGGAUAGGCCCUUCUGUCGCAGCAAGAACUCCAUUCUUGUGUGCCAAACCAGUGAUAAUAGCAGCGAAAGAAGCAUGGGCAGUAGGGCGCUUCUUCGCCCGAAUCAUAGCAGCCCAAAUAAACUUUGAGAUGCACACUUUUGUGCCAUCUAAAGCACACUCCAGCAAAAAUACCUCAACUGCAUUAACCUUAUUCGCCUGCUCCUUUCCAGACACAUUAUAUGCAAGAAAUUUAUGAACAAUAGCCAAUGCCGGAUCCUUAAUGUACCCACUAGGCAUACCCGAACUAUCCCAAUUAUCACAGUCAGUCAAUCGAUUCCACGCUUGAUUAACAUUCCAUCCCUGAGUUUUAUCAGAUAAUCCACCAAUACUGAAACCAAAAACAGCUUUCAUUCUAGCCAAACUAAUGCGAUACUCUCGCUCAUACAUCCUAGCUUUAAUCCAUUUCAUAUCACCAGCCAUUUCCACAGUAGUCAUGAACUCAUAACAUAAAGGAUCAUACCCAGAAAAAGCAAUAUUUUUAGCAUAUUCUUUCAUCCCUAGAUUUUGCAAAUACAACUCAACUCGUCCAUCAAGAUUCAAAUCAGUAAUUAACUCCCAAUCCAAGUAAUGCGGAGGAGUAAUAUAGUUCUCGUUAAAUUUCUUAAAUAUUUCUCCCUCUAAUUCGCUUUGCAAUACAAAUGGACAUUCAUACCUUUGGCUCAAAGUAAGCUCCCCUCUACCGACGUUUACGUUCUUCGUCCGCACCAUUAUAUCGUUGAAGGUGAUUUUAGAGGGUAGUGGUAUGAAAAAAUUGUAGUUGAAGGUGAUUUUUUGGAGGGGGUGUUCUGGAGCGGCGCUGGAGAGGAGAGAAUGAAAUUAGGGCACCAGCGCUCGCUGGAACCCAUUUAUAUAGAAGUAAUUUCGUCCCAGCGCUCGCUGGAACCCAGCGCUCGCUGGGUUUCCAGCGCUCGCUGGAUUCCCAGCGCUCGCUGGGUUUCCAGCGGUGCUGGGUUUCAGCGGGCGUUGGCAUCAUCGAUUUCAAUUCCAGAAUUAUCCCGCAAAUUCUUCGAAAAUCAAUGAAAAUCGGAGUGAAAUCCAACCACGAAUUCUUUGAAAGUCGUCUGGAAUCUAUGUGAAUUCCAUGGAAUUUAAAAUCCAUGGACUUUUUAAAGUCUGUGGAAAUCCACAACUAAUACACCCCCCUUAGAUUUG